GCCUGGGUGGCUCAGUGGUUGAGCAUCUGCUUUUGGCUCAGAGCGUGAUCCUAGUCCUGGGAUCGAAUCCCACAUCAGGCU
rnacentral:tRNA from 1 species